UUGCCGUCCAUGCUGGGCGUGAGGACCAAGGCCGACAGCUUCCAGGAGAUGUGCCUAACUUACUGAGAAUCAUGCCUGCUGUGAUGAGCCCUUGGAAACCAUCAGGACUGGAUGGUAGGGGUCCUGAGAGGAUUGGGGGAGGAGGCCUUGAUAUGACAGAGUGGACAGAGGCCGUGGAACCCAGGACAGCCAGCCUGCUCCACAAUCCUCAUCCCCACAGACCUUCAUGUGUGGCUCCUAAAUAAGAGGAAACCCACUCCUGAUAAGUCAGGGGCUUUGAAAAGUGAUUUUGUUUAAAUGGUGCAAACAAGCAAGCCAAUCUUGGGGAGACAGGGCUAAACUUAAGUCCUUUAAGAAGCUCUACAUACUGACAAGAUUCUAGUUCCCUUCCACCUUAUAUGCUGCAAAGUAAAAAGUAUCACUGAAUGAGAAAAUCAGCAUAAAGAAGCCCAAUAAUGUCUGCCUGAGUUUCCCCUAUGAUGACUUUUGGUACUUUUUGGGAAACAUUAAGUAUGAAGUUAUUUCAAAAUAAUUUUUUGGUGCCUCUGCUUGGUGAUGCCUUAAACUCUGGGUAAGAGAAACACCAGGUGCCUGUCAGGAGAUGGCCUUUUCCAGGUUUCUGGU
rnacentral:lncRNA from 10 species